rfam:Ornithorhynchus anatinus chromosome 3, whole genome shotgun sequence.
AGCCUCUCAGAGUCGCACCUGGAGAAUUUCCAGUACUCUACCAGUCUCAACUAUGGGAGGGAGACACAAGCUGAGGCCUAUACCUUCCAUUCCUAGCUUGGGCAGUGGCUAGCGAGUGGAAGGAAAUCUGCUACAACU